GCACUGCUGAGGAGUCCCAUACUAGGACGAUACGGCCGUCCAGUAC
rfam:Schistosoma curassoni strain Dakar, Senegal genome assembly, scaffold: SCTD_scaffold0000041